GGAGAUCUCUGGGUUUGCAACAGUACUGCAGACAGGCUCCUGUGGAAGUUUCUUGGUGGUUGUGCAGCAGGCAUAUCCAGAAAACAUCUACUGAACCAAAAUGAUGUGGAUUUCUUGUUUGCUGCUUGGAAGCAUGUUCUGUAAUCUCUUACAAAAAGAUUAUGGCUCCUAUGCUGCUGCUGUCCCAGUACCCUACCAGUCUUCCUCGGGAUAUUGGCGAGAAGGCUCUUCUGCUCCACAUCAGUUUCAUGCUCAUCCUAGCAGUCAAGGAAGCCAAAACAUAUAUCAGCGAGGAAGAGCUGUGUUUGCUCAAGCGCAUUACGUCCCUGGGGAGCCCAAGUUUCCCUUUUGGCCAGCAUCCAGAAAUGUCCGCAAAACCUAUUGGAAGAAUCCUGUUAAAUAUUGACACUUCUGAAAAGAUU